GGGGAUUUAGCUCAGUGGUAGAGCACUUGCCUUGCAAGCACAAGGCCCUGGGUUCAGUCCCCAGCUCCG
rnacentral:tRNA from 1 species